rnacentral:rRNA from 1 species
UACGGAGGGGGGCUAGCGUUGUUCGGAAUUACUGGGCGUAAAGGGGCGCGCAGGCGGCUGCUCAAGUCAGGCGUGAAAGGCCUGGGCUCAACCCGGGAAUUGCGCUUGAGACUGGGCUGGCUUGAGUGCGGGAGAGGAUGGUGGAAUUCCCAGUGUAGAGGUGAAAUUCGUAGAUAUUGGGAAGAACACCGGUGGCGAAGGCGGCCAUCUGGACCGCAACUGACGCUGAGGCGCGAAAGCUAGGGGAGCAAACGGG